UACGUAGGGCGCAAGCGUUAUCCGGAAUUAUUGGGCGUAAAGAGCUCGUAGGCGGUUUGUCGCGUCUGCCGUGAAAGUCCGGGGCUCAACUCCGGAUCUGCGGUGGGUACGGGCAGACUAGAGUGGUGUAGGGGAGACUGGAAUUCCUGGUGUAGCGGUGAAAUGCGCAGAUAUCAGGAGGAACACCGAUGGCGAAGGCAGGUCUCUGGGCAUUAACUGACGCUGAGGAGCGAAAGCAUGGGGAGCGAACAGG
rnacentral:rRNA from 1 species